UACAUGUGGACUUCUGUUUUAGCUUUGGGA
rnacentral:piRNA from 1 species